UUAUAGCCCUGAUGGAAGCGACAUCCUUUUUCUUUAUAUAUAAGUUUAAAAAUUUGAUAUAAAGAAAAAGAUAAAGCAAACAGCAGGUAGAAAC
rnacentral:sRNA from 1 species